rnacentral:rRNA from 1 species
UACGUAGGGGGCAAGCGUUGUCCGGAUUUAUUGGGCGUAAAGAGCGUGUAGGCGGCCAAGCAGGUCCGCUGUGAAAACUCGAGGCUCAACCUCGAGACGUCGGUGGAAACCGUUUGGCUAGAGUCCGGAAGAGGAUAGUGGAAUUCCCGGUGUAGCGGUGAAAUGCGCAGAUAUCGGGAAGAACACCCGUGGCGAAGGCGGCUCUCUGGGACGGUACUGACGCUGAGACGCGAAAGCGUGGGGAGCGAACAGG